CCUGUCUCUCUCUCCUCUCUCGCUGUCUCUCUCACUCGCUAUGUCUCUCUCCCCAGGUGUGUCUCUCAGUAAAGUAGUGUACCAGUCUCCCUCUACACUGCUGGUAGAGCCUAAUGCGUCUGUCUCUGUCCCUCUCCCUGUCUCUGUCUCUCUCCCCAGGUGUCUCUCUCAGUAAAGUAGUGUACCAGUCUCCCUCUACACUGCUGGUAGAGCCUAAUGCGUCUGUCUCUGUCCCUCUCCCUGUCUCUGUCUCUCUCCCCAGGUGUCUCUCUCAGUAAAGUAGUGUACCAGUCUCCCUCUACACUGCUGGUAGAGCCUAAUGCGUCUGUCUCUGUCCCUCUCCCUGUCUCUGUCUCUCUCCCCAGGUGUCUCUCUCAGUAAAGUAGUGUACCAGUCUCCCUCUACACUGCUGGUAGAGCCUAAUGCGUCUGUCUCUGUCCCUCUCCCUGUCUCUCUCUCCCCAGGUGUCUCUCUCAGUAAAGUAGUGUACCAGUCUCCCUCUACACUGCUGCUAGAACCUAAUGCAUCUGUCUCUGUCUCUCUCCCCAGGUGUCUCUCUCAGUAAAGUAGUGUACCAGUCUCCCUCUACACUGCUGGUAGAGCCUAAUGCGUCUGUCUCUGUCCCUCUCCCUGUCUCUGUCUCUCUCCCCAGGUGUCUCUCUCAGUAAAGUAGUGUACCAGUCUCCCUCUACACUGCUGGUAGAGCCUAAUGCGUCUGUCUCUGUCCCUCUCCCUGUCUCUGUCUCUCUCCCCAGGUGUCUCUCUCAGUAAAGUAGUGUACCAGUCUCCCUCUACACUGCUGGUAGAGCCUAAUGCGUCUGUCUCUGUCCCUCUCCCUGUCUCUCUCUCCCCAGGUGUCUCUCUCAGUAAAGUAGUGUACCAGUCUCCCUCUACA